GUUCUACACCUGCACCAUGACCUUUAACUUGGAAGGGUUCAGCGGCAGGAUCUCAGAGACCAUCAACAGCAUGGUGGACGUGGAGUAUUGCCUGGAGCCCAAAGUGGUUGAACCUGCCAAUGAGAUCAUCAAAGCAGAUUUGGGUUCUUCCUUCAGUAAGAUGUGUCGGGUGUUUGUCCCGAGUGUGGGGAAUAAAC